GCAUUAGUGGUUCAGUGGUAGAAUUCUCGCUCUCCAUGCAGGAGAGCCGGGUUCAAUUCCCAACCAAUGCA
rnacentral:tRNA from 1 species